rnacentral:lncRNA from 1 species
GGGGGCGGGGCGGCGUCCGGCUCCGGCCGAGCUGGGGGAGGAGCGCGGCGGCGACGGCGGCUGCUCCAGAAGAGGAGGAAAAGGAGGCGGAGGAGCUCCUUUCCUUUUCCCAGACCCCGGAGCGUUCGGGACGUAGAGCCCGGAACUGGGGGGACGCGGCGACUGCGGGGGCCCGGGAAUCCAUGCUGAAUCUGGUCAUUGUCUCUGCUGCUACCACCAAGAUUCAAGCUGCUGUUCUCUUUCCUGGAUUAUUGCAUUAGCCAUCUGACUGAUUUCUCUGCUUCUCCCCUU